ACAUAUCUGCACACUCUUGGUAUUUUAAUCUCAGUGUCUUCAUGAGGGACAGUCACCUGGAAUAGUUUUCUCAGCGUCUUUAGGGAAGGAUUUUAUGGUUGAUUAAGGGUUAAGGUUAGGGUUAGGUGUAGGGUUAGAUUUUAUGGUUGAUUAAGGGUUAAGGUUAGGGUAAGGGUUAGGUGUAGGGUUAGAUUUUAUGGUUGAUUAAGGGUUAAGGUUAGGGUUAGGUGUAGGGUUAGAUUUUAUGGUUGAUUAAGGGUUAAGGUUAGGGUUAGGUGUAGGGUUAGAUUUUAUGGUUGAUUAAGGGUUAAGGUUAGGGUAAGGGUUAGGUGUAGGGUUAGAUUUUAUGGUUGAUUAAGGGUUAAGGUUAGGGUUAGGUGUAGGGUUAGAUUUUAUGGUUGAUUAAGGGUUAAGGUUAGGGUAAGGGUUAGGUGUAGGGUUAGAUUUUAGGGUUGAUUAAGGGUUAAGGUUAGGGUUAGGUGUAGGGUUCGAUUUUAUGGUUGAUUAAGGGUUAAG